GUGACCUCGGUCCGUUUGUUUAUUCAAAUCUAACGGUUGGAGCUGCACGUGGAGUGGCGGUGAUCCCUUCGGUUUGGACCGGGUUGUGUGCCUGACUGAAUGAAACUGACUGCAUUCUUUGCAAAAAAAAGUUGUGAUCCUGAGAUUGACCCAUUUUCCGUAGCUGAACUGCAGUGCUCACUUUUCAAAACUGCUGGUAACUAAGAUGGAGUGUAACUCUAUUCCUCACUAGACCUGUCAGCAACAGCUAAGAAAUUCAACACCAACAAAUUAAGCACUGGCAGUCUUGUGGAAUGCUACUAAAAAAGAGCAUGAGAAAUAGUCAGAAGUGAAGUUAACAAGAUAAAUAGUAGUUGGAAUCCCAGUACCUGUGCAACUGGAAUCCUAUAAUUUCGAUCAGGGCAGCAAACUAAAGGACAAAGUAUUACCAUUCUGUAUUUACAUUGGACCAUAUGUCUAUGGCUACCCUUUCCUGUGAAAAAUUGCUGCUAUCGUUUUGUGCUGCCUCUGUGGAGGUAGGUAAUGUAGUUUAUUUGCUAUAGAGGUUGCCUUCACUCUAAUAGAUAUCAUAAUACCAAGUUUAAUGCAUUCGAGACUUUGUAUAUAUAUUUUUGAUAAAUUUGAGAUCUGGACUUUCUUUGCUUUUAUUAAGAUAACUUAGUUUAAUAUACUUAGAUACUGUUACUUACAUGCAUGUGGAAGAUAUGGAAUGAGGUAAAUGGUACCAAAUCAGUUACUGGAAUUAUAUUUUGUGGAUUAUCAUUUCUAAGUUAUAAAUGAUUUUAAAUUUUAGACAUGGUUAAAUGGCAUAUGUUGCUUGGCAACAAGUAUUGAGAAUACCGUAAUAAAACAAGUUAGUCAGCUGAAAAGAAUGCCAGUUGGUUACUUGAGUGGCAAUUACAGGUACUUCCUAUUGAAAUUGAGCUGGUUUGAUUUAUCAAUUAGUCACAAUGUUAACAGAUUUGCUUCAGUUUACAGUAUUUGGGGAUCAGUUCUUGCGUAUAUUCUACAGGUUUACAUUAUCCAGAGCUGAUUUAGAAGCAGACUAAAUAUGGUGCGUUGGUGCACAAAAGGAACAACAAUAACACAAAGGUCAGACAUUCUCCACUUUCUUUGGCAGAUCCUAUCAAUCAUAAUUUGCGGCCUGGCUGGUUGGGGUGGGUGGAUGCAUGUGUAUGUGUUGCAUAUGAUCUUGUCUGGAUGGGAGUGAUGGGGGAUGUGGUUAGUGGGAGGGUGAAGCUGUCUACUAUUUUUUCAUGGUAGCAAAGCAAGUUUAAAUUCUAGGUUCAAUCCUUGAUCUACUUAUUUUGGAGCAGUGGCAGGGACACUAAAUUUGUCCUCCAUGGCCCAGGUUAAGUGUUCCUCCUCCUAAUGCUGUCCAGUAACCCCUGCUGGAAGUGCAGAGAUGGGUGUUGAAUGAGGAUAUGGUCGGAAAUUGGCUGUGAUCUUCCUCUCUUCUGGUGCAGUAGCCUACAUAUAAAAUUGAAACAUAAAUAACGGCCACUUGAAUAAGAUACAUGAGAAUACUUGUUUCUGUGGAACUGUACCUCAGCAAGUAAUUAACCCCUUUAGGAAAGAUAAGGGAAAAAAUUUGGUGGGAUGAUGAAAUGGUACACUUUUGUUAGUGUGCUCUUUAUUGCAUCAAAGGCAGCACAAGAAAAUACUUGAACGUGGACAAAUCAUUGAUUGGUUUGUUGCCUUUUAGUCCUUAAAAAAAAAAAAGCAAAAUCGCUGAACAACCUUUAAAAUUUUCAGAAUGCUUGCAGAUUACAGCAGGUGGCAUCUGUUUAUACAAAGGCUAUAUCAGUAAAUCUGAACUGUUAAAAUGAGUGUUUAAAAAGGAGUAAGAUGACUAUGGAUAAGCAUAUUAUUGGCAGCAGUAAGAAAGAAGCGAUUUUAAGUUUUUUUUUGUUAGUCAAAAUUGUUAAACACCAAAUGGAAUAUUUAAGGGACGCAAGUUGGAUAUAAAUAUGGGAAUCAAGAAAUGAUGGGAUAUGGCAUUUUUCUUUUAAAUCAAGAUUGUGAAUUAAUUGCAGAGACAAUCAAAGUGAGUUUGAGAUCUAAUGUGUUGAGAUCAGUAGAGCAUUAAAUGCCAGUAGCACACAUGGAGGGCAAAACAGACAUUAUAUACCAGUAUUGCGUGAAUAAUGGGGAAAGUCUUCUGAACAAGCAGAGACGAAGUGGAAUAAGACAGCAACAGGUGGUGCAUUGGAUAAGACUUGUAUUUUCAGAAAGUGAUAAACUCUGCAUUUGAAGCUUUCAAAGAUAAAUUUACAUGGUAUACUCAUUAUUAUUAAAAACAAAUACUGCAGAUGGUGGAAAUUGAAAUUAAACCGGAAAAUGCUGAAAAUAUUAAGCAGGUCGGGCAGCAUCUGUGGAGAGAGAGGGAGAGCUAUUUCAGAUUUGACCUUUUUAAUAGGUCACAUUUAAAACGUUAACUCUGUUUCUCACUCUACAGUUGCUGCUUGACCUUCUGAUAUUUCCAGCAUUUUCUGGUUUCUUUUAUGGUGUACUCAUUGUUUGGAAUGAGGUUGGGGUGUUGAUAAAUAAACAUAGCUCUGUUGAGGCAAACGUGAGUUUUAGAAUUCUGCAGGAAAUUAUUGAGUUUCCUGCUUUUACACUAUUCCAUAACAGUUUGGAGGAGGGCGCUAUAAAUAAUGGGGUGAAGAUUUGGAUAUAAUGCUUGACUAUUCACUAAAACUAUCCAGUGAAUAUGAAGCUGUUAACAAUGAUGGUCAACUAUGGAAAUGCAUUUUUAAGAUUUCUGGUUGUAAGACGAAGAUUAUUUGAAAUCUUAUUGGCAAGAUGUAAACUAUGCAUGCUAUAUUGUGUGCAGUUUUGGACACUUUUCCAGAGGAUAUUGAUUGGAAAGAGUUAGCCAAUGGGCUGCCUGGGAUGUAUCUAGCAUUUGUAUUAUUGAGACUCACUGAAUUAAACUGGAGAAAUGAUUGGAGAAAAGAUUUGAGAGGUAAUAUGAUCCAGGUCUCUUCAAAACCCUGAAAGAUAUGGACAAGUAAGGAUUUAUUUUAAGAUUUGAUAUUUGUGGGAGUACAAUGUGAUAAAUUUCCUGUCUUUUUUUCUUGAUUUUAUUCCUUCACUUGCUUGCCUGACCUGACUCCUCUGUACAUGAGGUGGGUGCAAGGCUUGUUGACUGGGCAUCAUCAAUACCCCUUGUAACUGACUGCAAGGAGGUACUAGGGACCAUUCAGGUAUGAUUGACCUCUCUAAUUUUCACUCCCCUUUCUGGGAAGAAACUUAGCUUCAAGUCCCACUUAACUCAGUUUCUGAUUUGAGUCUAUCCCUGUUCUGUGGCAAACAGAAUUAUUUUGAUUGUAGAUAGAGAAGUCUCAGACAAGAUCAGUGUUGGUGUGUCUUUAGUAAAUCAACUGAACAGAUUCCCAUGAUGCAACUGCUUUUUAAAAAGGAGUUUGACGAACAGUUGAUCUAGUAAUGGGAAUUUAAGGUUUAAAGAUAAAAAGGAAAACCUAAAUUAUUCCAUUGUUAUAGUUCCAGCCCUGUUAGGGCCAUGGAACUGCGCAAAUCGCAACUAAUUGGGGUUCAGCUUCUAUUAUUUUAUAUUUUGGGGUGACUGCUGAAAUUACUGUCAAGUCAGGAACUGUUUGCUUCAGGAAGCUAAAUAAAUUUUGGUGAUUCAGUGACUGAAAAUUAUAUAUGAUGAUUGGGAGUAUGGGCUUGAAUUGCUUUUUUCUUGUUCUAUGCUUUAUUAUGUUGUAUUUGUUUCAAUUUAAGACAUUAAGGGUCCAAAUUUUCCACUUGUGCUCAACAGAAAAGCUAUGCAUUAUGGAACACAUUGACCAAACUUGGAAUUUUGUUUUUUAGCAAGCACAAGGACCUUGCAUGGCAUUGUGGAGAGAGUUACAGACCCCAAAUAAAUUUUGCUUUUUUCUGUGCUUAAUUCUUUUUUUCUCCCUUUUUUAUCUUUGUAUAAGAGAUCCUUGUUCUAUUUACAAGACAGACCUGCUUUCAACCACUCUUAGUUGUCAACUGGUUCAGUGGUAGAACUGCCUCUGAAUCAAAAGGUUGCAGGUUCAAGCCCCACUCUAGGACAUGAACACAUAAUGUUGCACUGAAAUGAUGCCUAGAUUAAGACUACUAAAUUAUCUUUCAAUUGACAGAUUAAACCAAAGUCAUUCCUAUCUAUUCUGGUGCGUGUGCGUGGUGCGUGUGUGUCGGAGCAAUAUUCAAAGAAGGCACAGGGCUUCUCAAAGUGCCUUGGGCAUUAUUCAUUCCUUAACAGACAACUGAUCAUUCAUCUCAUUGUGAGAUCUUGCUGUACGACUGCCUACCUAACAAUAGUGACUAUGUGCAAAGUGAUUCAUUGCGCAUUGACCUGCGAUAUCUGAAGAUGUAAUGACUCACCAUGUAAAUGCAAGUUGUUUUCUUAACUGUUUGACUUAGCAGGCUUUUCCCUGCUCCCUCCACCAAAACAAAAUGUACAACUUGCAAUUGAGAAGUAGAAGUUAAGUCUGCUUUAUUUUAAGUACUUUGAUGUCAACGUUCUUGGCAUAAUGCCAAAGGGAAAUUAAAGAUUUCUAAUGUGCACACUUCUGUCUGUACAAGAGGAAACGUUGGGCCCUUAUAGUUGAACCUAGUUACUGUAAUGAUUGAACUUGGUAUGUUAAUUCAGAUUACUGUAAAAAAUUAUUUAAUAAAAUGUUAUUUCUGGUAAUGGAUUGUUCUAAAAUCCUUGUCUUUUAGGAAAAUAGUAUGUUGUAGGCUCAAUUUCAUGUGUACUGUAGACACUGAUGAUGUGUUUGUGGAAUUAAUUAUGUAUAUGUUUAUGUCAUGUUUUAUUACACUUUCUGUAUCCUGCUAUUUUGUGAAGGUAUUCUGUUUUUUGAUUCAGUUUCAAACUGUUCAGUGCUAUUGAGAGAAUGUUCAAAUGAGGCUACCCCAUUGAAAGCUAUUCCCUUGGGUACUUGAACCAAGGUGUUCUCUCAGUUGUGCUCACUUAUUGAUUCUUGAUUUUAAAAAAUUCUUUAUAUGAAAAUGUUUAUUGCUUGACUCAAUGUGAAGUAUGUUAUUUCUGGUAUAUAUUCUGAUAUGUAUUACUGGCAAAAGUGAUAAACCCACUUCUGUUGUUUUAUCAGACUGAUCAGAAAAAUGUAUAAUGUGUUGAGGUUUUUCAUUCUCUUGACCUUCUGUGUCUUUUAAAUUUCAGAAUCUUUUGUCAAGAUCCAUCUUUUAAAAAGAGGAUGUGUACACAGUCUGAAGGUUCCCAUUUGAAGCAACUGGCCUCCAGAAAGUGAAUGGAAUAAAGUGAAUAUAGUUUUUCUUAAAUACAAUUUGAAACCCCAUCAAAGGUAGCUUAUCCUCCUUGCCCUGGCCUAAUGACAAUGACAUUCUUGAUACCCUAUUCAAAAUGAUGUCUAAAUAUAUCAACUUAGCAGGUGUCUUGAAUUCUCUUUUUUUUGUCUAUACAGGUGGAAUUAUGCAGGUACCUUUUGUUUUAAGCAAGCUAGUUGUCCCAUGUUGACUAAUAGUCAAUUUAACAUUGGCUACCUGCAUACUCCAUUAAUGGCUCACUUCACUUAGCCAUUUGUAUUGACUUAGUAUAUUGCACCUUUUGUGCUAGUCAAAGAGCGCUAAGUGAAACCUGAAUGUUGGAGGGUUGUUGGGGAUUCAAACUCCUGCUGCCAGAAAAUCAGUUGUUAUAUUUAGAAAUAAUUUUGGACAUGCUAAAUAGUUUUGUAAUAGUAGAAAUACUUGAAAUUGAUAUGCCUCAUACAUCAAAGUUUAGGAAUAACAGGACUAUUCAGAGCAUAGUGUUUUUAAACAAAAAAUACAAACCCUUAAAUGAUUCCUUUUUUGUGGUGAUGGAUAAGACAUAUCAAUUUCAAAACUGCAGAAGCAUUUCUACGUUUAAAACUACCUAGUCUUAAAUUAUAGCUAUACAUGUCAAAGUAGUGACUGGCAGCAGAAGUGUCAUGUUUUGUUCUGCUGGAUUUUUUAUUUUUGCACUCUUAAGUGUAUCCACCCAUAUUACCACCUUUUGGACCACUUGGUUAACCUUAAUAGAUUUGGUUGCAAUGUAAAGCAUUCUAACAUGCAGCUGUUGAACAGUGCAAAGGGAGAAUGCUGUAGCAGUGCUAUCUAAUCCCCUAAUUGGCGCAUUGUAGGCCAAAAAUAUGAAGUUACAAAUCAUUCCCCCAUGCAAAACAUUCCACAAAGAUGUGUAUUAAAUGUUUUUGCAGUUCUAACAACUUUGGCCUAUUGCAAAAGACCUUUUUUGAAUUGCUUCUGACUAUAGUAUCCACUUUGAUUUAUUAACAAAGGUCUCAAUUUUUAAAAACACAACUGGCUUUGGUUGGGUAGUAAAAACUUCACUCUGCUAUACUUUAAACUGCAGAGAGGAUGCUGAAUAAAACUUGCAUUUUUUUCCUCACUAUGGAGGGAGAAUCUGUUUGUUGAAGUUUUCAAUUUCUUGGCUGAUUAGCUCAAAAUUGGCUUGAUAGGGAAAUUUGAUUUGGAGAGCAAAAAGUAAAGGAUGUGAAAUUAUAGGUAGAUGCAAGAUGUCUUAAUUUCAUGAUGAAAGUUCUGGGCUGCAGCAACAAUAUACCCAAGGAUUUGAAGUAACUGAAAUAACUUUUGACUUCACUCGUGUGUGUGUCUUGUGUAUAUAUGUAAAAUUUUCCUGAGUAAUUGCUUCACACAUGAUCAAGAAUGGGAGCCUCCAGAGAAAGUACAUCUAGUCCUUAUUUUUUUACUAAAGGUAUGAUUCAUGAAAUUGUACAUGCAACAUGUGGAUGGAACACCAUUCAGGAAAAAUUUUCAUACUGUGCUGUUAAAUUAAUGUAAAAAUGUGAACUUGAAGUGCAUUAACACUUUCAAGAUGCUGAUAUUUUAACCUAUUUUUCUUGUUUCAAUGGUAUUAAAGUAUAUUGUUUUGCGCAACUGAAAAUUAAUAAAAUUCAAAUUACUCACUUA